rnacentral:misc_RNA from 1 species
ACAGAUUUUCAAGAAGGAAGUUCGGAGACUCUAUACAAUUCUGUACAUAGCAAGAUCUUCUCUCUCCCUCCCAACUAUACACUGUAUCCCGCUCAUGAUUACACAGGUCAAACCAGCACCACUGUUGAAGAGGAAAAGAUGAUGAAUCCACGCCUGACCAAAUCGAAGGAGGAAUUUGUAAAGAUAAUGAAAGAACUGAACUUGCCAUAUCCCAAACAGAUAGACAAAGCCUUGCCUGCCAACUUGGUCUGUGGUUUGUACAAUCUUCCGGAGGAGUUCUCGAAGAGUUAGGCCCCAACACAUAGGGCUUCAGAAGCAAAGUGUUUUACCGUACAGGCUAUUGUACAGGCCGGUCAGGAGAACAGUCUGUGUCAGCUGUUUAUUUACACCAGUCCGUGAACUUUUUAAUUUUCAUUGGUUGAUUUAAGUUGAUUGAAUCACAUUCAAUGGACUUUACACCUGUGUGUGUUAUUUUCUAAGAAUUUAAAAAUAACAUUUUACUUUACAGUAGAGCUAGAAUUAUGUACAUAGCUCCUUAAAUUGAGGCCUUUGAGGUUCUGUGUUAUGGUCUGUGAUAAAUUAUAAACUUACAAUUGAACAAGAAUUUUUUUUGAUUCUCAUCAAUUUUCAAAAUACAUGUAUUGAAAUGUCAGUUGUUAUAUUGCAUACAAAAAUGCAGUCUAAUGCAUCAUCUGGAUGUUAGUACAUUUUUUUCUGCAUGCUCCAGAUUUAAAAAAAAUGAAGCUUAGCUUUGACAAAUCACCUGUUAAUCUUCGUUCUUUUAUAUUUGUAAUUUUGCAUUGACAAUAUAUAUAUAUUUUUUUAUUUGCAUUCUGCAAUUCAUUCCAACAUAAUGAAUAUUCACCUACCAGUAUACUAUGUAUGUUGGUAAUAGAUGCUGUAAGCAGAAUAUUUUAUCUCUCAUUUUUAACAAUCAAUAUACCUUCAAAAUCAAAUUCAGGAAAUUAUGCUUGCAAUUAAUGAUGAUUUCUACAUAAUGUAAAUUUUCAUUGCCAAAUGCACAAAUUAAAUCCUUUUAUAAGCUACCGUUCUUAUAACUAAUGUCAUGUAUACGGUGUGGUUUUUAUUGCAAUAUUUGUAAUACAAACUGAUAUAUUAUUAAAAAUUAAUUAU